rnacentral:rRNA from 1 species
UAGCGGAGGGUGCGAGCGUUGUCCGGAAUCACUGGGCGUAAAGGGCGCGUAGGUGGCGCAGGAAGUCAACGGUGAAAGUUCGGGGCUCAACCCUGAAUCGGCCUCGAUACUCCUGGGCUCGAGCACUGUAGAGGCAGAUGGAAUUCCGGGUGUAGCGGUGGAAUGCGUAGAGAUCCGGAAGAACACCGGUGGCGAAGGCG